CUCUAGCCCCGAUUGCAAUGAAAAUCCUUUUUUAUCGCCGUAGCGAAAAAAAGAUUGUAAUGAAAAGCGGGAAAUAGC
rnacentral:sRNA from 1 species